rnacentral:rRNA from 1 species
UAGGGAAUCUUCCGCAAUGGACGCAAGUCUGACGGAGCAACGCCGCGUGAGUGAAGAAGGAUUUCGGUUCGUAAAACUCUGUUGUUAGAGAAGAACAGCGCAUAGAGUAACUGUUAUGCGUGUGACGGUAUCUAACCAGAAAGCCACGGCUAACUACGUGCCAGCAGCCGCGGUAAUACGUAGGUGGCAAGCGUUAUCCGGAAUUAUUGGGCGUAAAGCGCGCGUAGGCGGUUUUUUAAGUCUGAUGUGAAAGCCCACGGCUCAACCGUGGAGGGUCAUUGGAAACUGGAAAACUUGAGUGCAGAAGAGGAAAGUGGAAUUCCAUGUGUAACGGUGAAAUGCGCAGAGAUAUGGAGGAACACCAGUGGCGAAGGCGACUUUCUGGUCUGUAACUGACGCUGAUGUGCGAAAGCGUGGGGAUCAAACAGG